AGAGGAAGUAAAAGUCGUAACAAGGUUUCCGUAGGUGAACCUGCGGAAGGAUCAUUACAGAAAGUAAACGCGGGUCACACCGCGAAUUUCUAAACCUUUGACGAUUGACUCAUGUUGCCUCGGCGGGUUCUCCCGCCAGAGGAUACAUCAAAACUCCUGUUUUAAUGGUGUUGUCUGAGCUAUAAGCAACGAAUCAAAACUUUCAACAACGGAUCUCUUGGUUCUGGCAUCGAUGAAGAACGCAGCGAAAUGCGAUAAGUAAUGCGAAUUGCAGAAUUUCCGUGAGUCAUCGAAUCUUUGAACGCACAUUGCGCCCACUGGUAUUCCGGUGGGCAUGCCUGUUCGAGCGUCAUUAUCCUCCCUCAAACCCCAGGUUUGGUGUUGGACCUGAGUUGUGUGAACAACUGGUCUCAAAGACAAUGACGGCGUCCGUGGGACCCUCGGUGCAACGAGCUUUUAGGAGCACGCAUCGAGUUGCAAGGACCUUCCGGGCCGGUCUCCUUUACUAUUUUACAAGGUUGACCUCGGAUCAGGUAGGAAUACCCGCUGAACUUAAGCAUAUCAAUAAGCGGAGG
rnacentral:rRNA from 1 species